AGACCCGAAACCCGGUGAUCUAGCCAUGGGCAGGUUGAAGGUUGGGUAACACUAACUGGAGGACCGAACCGACUAAUGUUGAAAAAUUAGCGGAUGACCUGUGGCUGGGGGUGAAAGGCCAAUCAAACCGGGAGAUAGCUGGUUCUCCCCGAAAGCUAUUUAGGUAGCGCCUCGUGAAUUCAUCUCCGGGGGUAGAGCACUGUUUCGGCCAGGGGGCCAUCCCGGCUUACCAAUCCGAUGCAAACUGCGAAUACCGGAGAAUGUUAUCACGGGAGACACACGGCGGGUGCUAACGUCCGUCGUGAAGAGGGAAACAACCCAGACCGCCAGCUAAGGUCCCAAAGUCAUGGUUAAGUGGGAAACGAUGUGGGAAGGCCCAGACAGCCAGGAUGUUGGCUUAGAAGCAGCCAUCAUUUAAAGAAAGCGUAAUAGCUCACUGGUCGAGUCGGCCUGCGCGGAAGAUGUAACGGGGCUAAACCAUGCAC
rnacentral:rRNA from 1 species